rnacentral:piRNA from 1 species
UGAUAUAAAGGAACAUUAUGUCUUGU